GAAAAGGGUGGAGCUCGUCGCCUUAAAUAGGACGGCGCCGCGCGGGAGACUGCGCGGCCCGGGUGUGCGGAGCGAGACCGUGCCGUGGAGGCGGUGCCUGGGGACGGGGGCCCCCUCGGAGCGCCUCCGCGCACGGGCGCAGCACGUGGGAGCCCGCAGCAACUCGUGUCCGCAACGUGUGUGACAACGGACGUGUGACGCCGGGCCUCCGUUCCCUUGUCGGCGGCUCGCCCUCGUGACUCCCCACUCUUUGAUCCUCCCCUCCUCGUCUCCUCGUUGGGUGCCUCCUGCCCUGCUGGGCGAGGAGGGUGGGGACUGCAGCCGGAACGCCGCGUCCUCUCCGGGGCUCCCGCCGAGCGGCGUCUUCAGCCGGUUCUUACAUAAGCUGCCCCGCACGUUACCAUCUCAGAUGCCAGCCCGCCGGGACUCCAGGGGUCAAAGCCGAACUCGUCCCUGGCUUUUCUGCCCCGGGCCCUUCAGACCCUUCAACUCAGAACUCUCGGACUCUCAGCACAGGGAAGAGAGGAGAGGAGAGCCUCGAUUCUCAAGGUUAUGGCUUUAUCUGGCCCCAGUUUAUUUGUUCCUUUGAGGCGACUGGAAAGACGUUGAGGAAGGAAAAGAGCAAGUCCAGAGUCUCCAGCAGACGCGAACAUCCGUUUCACCAUGUCGUAGUUAAAGGAAACCAGGCAGGGCAGGACCCUGUGGGACGAAGACAACCUAGGGGACGCAAGGGGGCACUCUAGUUCCGAUGAGGGUCGGGAGGACAGAGACUGGGAUUUUUAUUUUUUUAAGUGCAUAUUCUUACUAAAAGAAAAAGUUGGACAGGGAUAUAAGUUAGGGUUUGGAGAAUGUGUGAUUAUUUUAAGUAUAUUCGAAUACUUUUUACCUAUAUUUAGCAAUAUGGUUAUUUUAGAAAAAGAAAAAGGUUUCUAAAUUAAACCUCAGCACUGUUUCCCCAAACACAAAGUUUCACGGCACUAUCAAAUAAAAUAUAAUUAAUCUCGGUAUGAUGGCUCACUCCUGCUGUAAUCCUAGAGGUUGGAUACAAGAACUCGGUUCAAGACCAGCCUGAGCCACAUGGGACCAUUAGAAACCUGUUACCUAUGGAGAAGUCACUCACCAACCUGUCCUCCGACUCAAACAUGGAGUAGUCAACAGUGAAGUUUGCACUAAAGUCAUCUGAGAAGAGGAAAGGAAAAAAGCUGUAAAAGAACGAAAAAUGUGUGGCGUUGACAAUUGAAUCCAGAAUCCUAGACCUUCUGCUGAUCACAUCCCUCCGACCCCAGACUGAGGACACGGGAUUUAAAGGAAAGGGAAGCAAUGACCCACCUGGCAGACUGGAGAACAAAGAAGGGAAGGAGCCAAGCUGCUCUUGGGACUCUGUCCCUAAAUGCGGCCAGUGCUUGACUGUCCUAGAAGCCAAUCCAUUUAUAUCUUCUUCUUUUAUUUAUUUAUCUAUCUAUCUAUCUAUUUA